rnacentral:rRNA from 1 species
CUAGUUGGUGGGGUAAAAGCCUACCAAGGCUGCGAUCGGUAGCUGGUCUGAGAGGACGAUCAGCCACACUGGGAUUGAGAACGGCCCAGACUCCUACGGGGGGCAGCAGUGAGGAAUUUUCGGCAAUGGGGGCAACCCUGACCGAGCAACGCCGCGUGCAGGAGCUCAUCUUCGGAUCGUAAACUGCUUUUCUCUGGGAAGAGCGAGGACGGUACCAGAGGAAGAAGCCCCGGCUAACUACGUGCCAGCAGCCGCGGUAAUACGUAGGGGGCGAGCGUUGUCCGGAGUUACUGGGCGUAAAGGGCAUGUAGGCGGUCCGAUCAGUUUGGGGUUACAGCUCCCGGCUCAACUGGGAGAGCGCCUCGAAGACGGUGGGACUUGAGAGCCAGAGAGGGACACAGAAUUCCGGGUGUAGUGGUGAAAUGCGUAGAUAUCCGGAGGAAUAUCAAAGGCGAAGGCAGUGUCCUGGCUGAUUUCUGACGCUGAGGUGCGAAAGCUAGGGGAGCGAACGGGAUUAGAUACCCCGGUAGUCCUAGCCGUAAACGAUGACCACUAGGUGUGCGGGGUAUCGACCCCCUGCGUGCCGCAGCUAACGUGAUAAGUGGUCCGCCUGGGGAGUACGGUCGCAAGAUUAAAACUCAAAGGAAUUGACG